rnacentral:lncRNA from 1 species
GUGACGACAAUGGUCCAUGGGGGUUCCUGACCCCAAGCAUCUCCCGCUAGUUGGGAGACGGAUGGAUCUGUUCUGAGCCAUGAAACGCAUCCCUAUGUGUCGAUGAUGUCGCUACCUGUUUGCUUGCUUUUGCUGUCCUCUGGCCGUGACGACAAUGGUCCAUGGGGGUUCCUGACCCCAAACAUCUCCCGCUAGCUGGGAGACGGAUGGAUCUGUUCUGAGCCAUGAAACGCAUCCCUGUGUGUCGAUGAUGUCGCUACCUGUUUGCUUGCUUUUGCUGUCCUCUGGCCGUGAUGACAAUGGUCCAUGGGGGUUCCUGUCCCAAAGCAUCUCCCGCUAGUUGGGAGACGGAUGGAUCUGUUCUGAGCCAUGAAACGCAUCGCUGUGUGUCGAUGAUGUCGCUACCUGUUUGCUCGCUUUUGCUGUCCUCUGGCCGUGACGACAAUGGUCCAUGGGGGUUCCUGACCCCAAACAUCUCCCGCUAGCUGGGAGACGGAUGGAUCUGUUCUGAGCCAUGAAACGCAUCCCUGUGUGUCGAUGAUGUCGCUACCUGUUUGCUUUUUUUUGCUUUCCUCUGGCCGUGACGACAAUGGUCCAUGGGGGUUCCUGACCCCAAACAUCUCCCGCUAGAUGGGAGACGGAUGGAUCUGUUCUGAGCCAUGAAACGCAUCCCUGUGUGUCGAUGAUGUCGCUACCUGUUUGCUUGCUUUUGCUGUCCUCUGGCCGUGAUGACAAUGGUCCAUGGGGGUUCCUGACCCCAAACAUCUCCCGCUAGCUGGGAGACGGAUGGAUCUGUUCUGAGCCAUGAAACGCAUCCCUGUGUGUCCAUGAUGUCGCUACCUGUUUGCUUGCUUUUGCUGUCCUCUGGCCGUGACGACAAUGGUCCAUGGGGGUUCCUUACCCCAAACAUCUCCCGCUAGUUGGGAGACGGAUGGAUCUGUUCUGAGCCAUGAAACGCAUCGCUGUGUGUCGAUGAUGUCGCUACCUGUUUGCUUGCUUUUGCUGUCCUCUGGCCGUGACGACAAUGN